rnacentral:tRNA from 1 species
AAUAUGAUGGCUGAGAUGUAAUAGGCAUUAAAUUGUAAAUUUAAUUAGAGGUUAAUAUCUUCAUAUUA